GACGAACGCUGGCGGCGUGCUUAACACAUGCAAGUCGAACGGAAAGGCCCUGCUUUUGUGGGGUGCUCGAGUGGCGAACGGGUGAGUAACACGAGAGUAACCUGCCCUUGACUUUGGGAUAACUUCAGGAAACUGGGGCUAAUACCGGAUAGGAGCUCCUGCUGCAUGGUGGGGGUUGGAAAGUUUCGGCGGUUGGGGAUGGACUCGCAGCUUAUCAGCUUGUUGGUGGGGUAGUGGCUUACCAAGGCUUUGACGGGUAGCCGGCCUGAGAGGGUGACCGGCCACAUUGGGACUGAGAUACGGCCCAGACUCCUACGGGAGGCAGCAGUGAGGAAUAUUGCACAAUGGGCGGAAGCCUGAUGCAGCAACGCCGCGUGCGGGAUGACGGCCUUCGGUUUGUAAACCGCUUUCGCCUGUGACGAAGCGUGAGUGACGGUAAUGGGUAAAGAAGCACCGGCUAACUACGUG
rnacentral:rRNA from 1 species